GGUAAGGUGGCUGAGUAAGCGGUGGAUUGUAGCUCCAUACACAGGGGUUUAAUCCCCCUUCUUAUCA
rnacentral:tRNA from 1 species